rnacentral:rRNA from 1 species
CGUACACUCCUACGGGAGGCAGCAGUGGGGAAUAUUGGACAAUGGGCGCAAGCCUGAUCCAGCCAUGCCGCGUGAGUGACGAAGGCCCUAGGGUUGUAAAGCUCUUUCACCGGUGAAGAUAAUGACGGUAACCGGAGAAGAAGCCCCGGCUAACUUCGUGCCAGCAGCCGCGGUAAUACGAAGGGGGCUAGCGUUGUUCGGAUUUACUGGGCGUAAAGCGCACGUAGGCGGACUAUUAAGUCAGGGGUGAAAUCCCGGGGCUCAACCCCGGAACUGCCUUUGAUACUGGUAGUCUUGAGUUCGAGAGAGGUGAGUGGAAUUCCGAGUGUAGAGGUGAAAUUCGUAGAUAUUCGGAGGAACACCAGUGGCGAAGGCGGCUCACUGGCUCGAUACUGACGCUGAGGUGCGAAAGCGUGGGGAGCAAACAGGAUUAGAAACCCGGGUAGUCC